rnacentral:rRNA from 1 species
UGGGGAAUAUUGCACAAUGGGCGCAAGCCUGAUGCAGCCAUGCCGCGUGUAUGAAGAAGGCCUUCGGGUUGUAAAGUACUUUCAGCGGGGAGGAAGGCGAUAAGGUUAAUAACCUUGUCGAUUGACGUUACCCGCAGAAGAAGCACCGGCUAACUCCGUGCCAGCAGCCGCGGUAAUACGGAGGGUGCAAGCGUUAAUCGGAAUUACUGGGCGUAAAGCGCACGCAGGCGGUCUGUCAAAUCGGAUGUGAAAUCCCCGGGCUCAACCUGGGAACUGCAUUCGAAACUGGCAGGCUAGAGUCUUGUAGAGGGGGGUAGAAUUCCAGGUGUAGCGGUGAAAUGCGUAGAGAUCUGGAGGAAUACCGGUGGCGAAGGCGGCCCCCUGGACAAAGACUGACGCUCAGGUGCGAAAGCGUGGGGAGCAAACA